rnacentral:rRNA from 1 species
UACGAAGGGGGCUAGCGUUGUUCGGAAUUACUGGGCGUAAAGCGCACGUAGGCGGAUAUUUAAGUCAGGGGUGAAAUCCCAGAGCUCAACUCUGGAACUGCCUUUGAUACUGGGUAUCUCGAGUAUGGAAGAGGUGAGUGGAAUUCCGAGUGUAGAGGUGAAAUUCGUAGAUAUUCGGAGGAACACCAGUGGCGAAGGCGGCUCACUGGUCCAUUACUGACGCCGAGGUGCGAAAGCGUGGGGAGCAAACAGG